rnacentral:ncRNA from 1 species
AUGACGGUUUCCGCGAAAGCGGAAUUAAAAGGGAAUCAGGUGCAAAUCCUGGACAAUCCCGUUGCUGUAAACUCUUGUGACACUGCGCAUUAACAAGCGCACGUCAACGGCCGGAUACCAUGUCACUGCCAAAGAACGGUGGGAAGACGUCGGGACGAGGAGUAAGUCAGAAGACCUGCCGCAUACA